GCAUUAUACUCGCGAAACUGCGAAUGGCUCAUUAAAUCAGUUAUCGUUUAUUUGAUAAUACCUUACUACUUGGAUAACCGUGGUAAUUCUAGAGCUAAUACAUGCUAAAAAUCCCGACUUCGGAAGGGAUGUAUUUAUUAGAUUAAAAACCAAUGCCCUCUGGGCUCACUGGUGAUUCAUAAUAACUUCUCGAAUCGCAUGGCCUUGCGCCGGCGAUGGUUCAUUCAAAUUUCUGCCCUAUCAACUUUCGACGGCUGGGUCUUGGCCAGCCAUGGUGACAACGGGUAACGGAGGGUUAGGGCUCGACCCCGGAGAAGGAGCCUGAGAAACGGCUACUACAUCCAAGGAAGGCAGCAGGCGCGCAAAUUACCCAAUCCCGACUCGGGGAGGUAGUGACAAUACAUACUGAUACAGGGCUCUUUUGGGUCUUGUAAUUGGAAUGAGUACAAUUUAAAUCUCUUAACGAGGAACAAUUGGAGGGCAAGUCUGGUGCCAGCAGCCGCGGUAAUUCCAGCUCCAAUAGCGUAUAUUAAAGUUGUUGCGGUUAAAAAGCUCGUAGUUGAACCUUGGGCCUGGCUGGCCGGUCCGCCUCACCGCGUGCACUGGUUCGGUCGGGCCUUUCCCUCUGGGGAACCGCAUGCCCUUCACUGGGCGUGUCGGGGAACCAGGACUUUUACUUUGAAAAAAUUAGAGUGUUCAAAGCAGGCCUAUGCUCGAAUACAUUAGCAUGGAAUAAUAGAAUAGGACGUGCGGUUCUAUUUUGUUGGUUUCUAGGACCGCCGUAAUGAUUAAUAGGGACAGUCGGGGGCAUCAGUAUUCAAUUGUCAGAGGUGAAAUUCUUGGAUUUAUUGAAGACUAACUACUGCGAAAGCAUUUGCCAAGGAUGUUUUCAUUAAUCAGGAACGAAAGUUAGGGGA
rnacentral:rRNA from 1 species